GAUAAAGUAGUGAUGCUCACUAGUUCUCUGACUAGGAAAUUGUUACCAUCUUUGUUUCAUAAGCAUGUGUUUUAUACUGAUUGUGUCCCUUGCCUUGGGGGAGCCUUGGAAACAAGGAUCAUCACUAAAGAGCUAAUAGUUGAGCUUUGAUCCAUGUGAAAUCCCAUAAGCACAUUUUAUAAACAAAGCUUUUUUUGUGAGACUUCUCAGUGGUGGAGCAGCUCUGUGUUAUACAUUACUGUCAACUGAAGCCAAGCAGAAGCUCCUGAUGUGUAUUACCUAUUGCGAAGUUCUUUACCAUUUCCUCCAGCUUUGUUACAAUUGCUUGUCUGUAAUCUGGUGUCCCAGUUACUACAGCCAAAAGAUACAGCAGAGCAUGCAGGUAGAAUGAAAUUCCAAUGCCAGGAGUUGCAGCAGACAGUAGGUGUGCAAUUCAGCUCCUGUGUCUUAGUGCAAGCAGGGAACUAGAGGCUCACUUUGUUCCCUGCAUUUGCUUCCCUUCACAGGUCCACGCAUCAGUGAGGCUCGCUCUGUGCUGCUGCUGCUGUUUUAGUGUACACCUCUCUAGAGGGAGCACCUGAGAGAACACCACCACCAAAAUUAUGUAUCUCAUUUUCCUGCUUGGAGUGAUUGGGGUGUCUUUAGGAGGCCACUGGAAGAGGAAGCAAUGAAACUCAGGAACUACAGGAGUACGGCCAGUACUCUCAGAUCCUGCUGUGCACCUUCAACAAUUCAACAAUUUCUGCUGUCAUCAGAAAUACUGGGGCUAACGAGAAAGGCUGUGGAAGGAAACAGACUUCCACUGGAAGUAUGCAAAAGGUAUGCUCCUUGUGUUCGCCAUAAGCCGUAACACAAAACCAAAGUCCUGUGCAGCGUAACGUGUUUGAAAAAACAGUGAUAUUGUGGCAUUUCACUCUAAAGUCUGUAAUAAUGCGAAAUAACAGAAUGACACAGCAGUGCCUGGCACUGUCUGGUGGAGCAGAUGCAUGGAACAGUCUCACCUUCAGAUUGCUAUUUAAGGAGGGUCUUUAUUGAAUGAAAGGAGAAGGGGAGGGG
rnacentral:lncRNA from 1 species